AAGUUUGUGUUUGAGUGGCAUUUAAGUCAAAUUACGUGGUACAACACAGCAAACUGGAAACAACAUGCUCACCAAAUAGGUCUUUAUUUAGAUGCAGAGGUGAGGUAAGAUUUCAGAGGAAGGGGGGCACAUUUAUCACAUUAUUGGCCUGCCAUAUCCAUUUAUUAUAUUAAAAUGUAAUCUUUUAAUAUCAAUGAAAUAAUGACAGAAAGCCAGGAGCAGAAAAGAAACCUCAUGUUCCAUAUGAAGAAAAUGUCAAACAAGUUAAAUAUUCAGAACAAAACAAAACAAA